rnacentral:rRNA from 1 species
GACGACGACGCUGGCGGCGUGCCUAACACAUGCAAGUCGAACGGUUCUGUUGGGGGCUUGCUCUCGACAGAGUAGUGGCAAACGGGUGAGUAACACGUGGGUAAUCUUCCUUCGAGUGAGGAAUAACUUCGGGAAACCGGAGCCUAAUACCGCAUAACAUCUUGGAACGGCAGUUCUAAGAUCAAAGGGGGCGCAAGCUCCCGCUUGAAGUUGAGCUCGCGUCCUAUCAGCUAGUUGGUGAGGUAAUGGCUCACCAAGGCUCCGACGGGUAGCCGGCCUGAGAGGGUGGCCGGCCACACUGGGACUGAGACACGGCCCAGACUCCUACGGGAGGCAGCAGUGGGGAAUAUUGCGCAAUGGACGAAAGUCUGACGCAGCGACGCCGCGUGGGUGAUGAAGGCCUUCGGGUCGUAAAGCCCUGUUGAGGGAGAGAAAGCUACUGUCGGUUAAUACCCGGCAGUGGUGAUAGUAUCCCUAGAGAAAGCACCGGCUAACUACGUG